UAAUUAAAAAAAAUAUAUUAUCUGAAUUACCCAUAAUAACCCUAACUCACCCACACCAUUCUCAUCUUCUCCAAUCAGAUACCAUUGACAUCUCCGACGCCAUUGUCGUCUUCUUCGCUGUCGUCUUCUGUAUCUCGCCGCUGUCUCCUGAGGUCCCGUCGGCGUCGUCUUCUGCAGUCUCAGCGUCGUCUCUUGAGGUCUCGUUACCAUCAUCUUCUGCAGUCUCGGUGUCGUUGCCUUCGUCGUUGAGAUCUUGGCGCCAUCUUCGUCGUCUUCAAGCAGAGAUGGAGUAUUUGGUUUUAACAUGCAAGUAAGAGGGCCACCUCAAUAGAAAAAUACCUUUGAAACACAAAUCAAAGACAUGAAGAAACAGGAAGAACAGUGUAAUAGAAAAUCUAAGAAGGGUUACAUUGUAAUUUGGACUCAAGAGGAAGACGGGACUGAUAUUACUGCGAAUUCUCUUCAUCCGGAAACCAUUGCCACCAACCUUUUCCGUCAUAUGGAUGUGGCAUAUGGUAACUACUACCACAUUCUACUAUUUUAUGAACUCAUAAAGUAUGCUUUUGGUUCAUUUUCCAUCCAAUUUUUUUGUUCAUGCAAGUAUAGUUAAUGCAAUUGGGAGACUUAUGCUUAAAAAUGUCCAACAGGGAGCAACAACAACAUGCUAUGUAGCGUUGCACCCACAAGUGAAGGGAGUUAGUGGCAAAUACUUAUCUGAUAGCAAUCUGUCCAAAAUAACCUCCCAUGGAACUGAUGCUAAUUUGGUUAAGAAACUCUAGGAUUUCAGUAUGAAUUUGAUCAAGUAGAUUGCCAUGCUCACAAGGACAUCAUACCUACAUCCUAAGCAAAUCAAAGGCAUCAACAUUAUGAACAAAGUUAUAUUAUAGUAUUAUACUUGUAUUCUGAUCGUACAUUUCACAAACAUGAGUUUCAAGCUUCGAACAUGAUGGGCAUACCAAUUUAGUGCUAUUUUGUUUGGAUAAAUUAAUUUUUGUAUUUCCAAUGUUUGGUUGAUAUAUUAUUUUUAUUGGAGUGACAGAUCGAGUUUCCCUUACAUUUCAAGAUGGUUCUACUCCUAAUUAGAAAAUUACUUUAUUAUGUUAUUAUGCACAUAAACAAAUCUGAAAAUUAAGUUUUAACGGUGGUAAAUGUAAAAUUAGUAAAAAUCUAUAAUUAAAAUCAAGAACAACGACCGAUUUAGAUUUUUAGUUCAGGAAUUAGCGACAAAUUUAGUGACCAAUUUUAGAUUUUCAAAUCAGGCAAUGGCGACCGAUUUAGCGAUCGAUUUCAUGGCAACCAAUUUAGCGACAGAAAAUUUGGUCACCAUUUAGAGACCGAUUUACUCAGCGACCGAUUUAGCGACGAAAAAUUAGGUCACCAGUUAGCGACCGGUUAUGUUAGUAACCGAUUUAGAGACCGAUACUCUUUGGUGAUGGCUUGGUGGCCUUGCUAAAAAAUCGGUCGCUAAUGGUUAGUGAUCGAAGUUGGUCACUAUUUUUUUAUUAGCAACCAAGGUUUUAGCGACCACCAGAAUCGGUCGCUAAAUCGGUCACUAUUCUGAUAAUUUCUUGUUGUGUUAGUUAAUAGUUAGAUAUUUAGCUAUAAGGUCAGGUGAAUUAUUAUGCUUAGACUUGGCAUCAUAAACCUUUUAAAAAUAGUCUCUGUGUUGUUGAAAAGGUGUUAUUUUAUAUUUGUUAAAUUAAAAGAGACAACCUGAAAAUUCACUUAGCCCCAAUUUAAUUGCUUUUGGGUUGAACUCUAACAUUUCCAUUGCACUAUCCCUAACCUUCGAAAGGGGUACUCUCCCAAAUCACAAAUUUGGAAUCUAUCUCAGAGAAAUGGGUGAAGCAGGGAUGAAUUAUUAUAGUUUGUCUUGAAGCUAAGGAACCCAACAAUGGAAGCAUCUAAACCUUAUUUUGAUGAAGAAUGUACGAGCAAAUCAUAUGAUAGAGCAUGCUUAUGUCGCCUGGUAAUAGUCCCAUUGAAAUCAAAAACUCCUUUCAACUCUUAGUCUCUCACGGAUCGUUUCUUCGACAAUAUCCUAUAUGAAAGCCUCCGUACCACAGCACGUCAGUGUCGCCACCACUUCCUUUAGUGCUGUCAUGGAAGAGCCUUCGCACCGUCUUUCAUCCGCCGUGAGCAUGCCGUUCACCAUAGCAACGUUGUUAGCCGAGAGAUGGCACACACAAGUCAGGCAGAGCCAUACACCUCCUCCGCUGUGGCGCGCGGCCUCCUCUUCUGUCGCGACUUGGGACAUUGCGUCACCUCGUCCAUCUCUUCUAUCGCGCCGCGUCUCAUCCUUCUCCACCAUCAUGCUACGUCAUCACGUUUCCUCUUCCUCCGUCAAGCCGUGCCUCCUCCAUAACCUCCGUUGCCUCGUCGAACCGCAUCUUCUCCAUGUUGCCACUCCAAAGGUUAGUGGAUGUUUCUUUUCCAAUUCAGUGGAUGUUUCUUCUCUGUUUCAGGAUUCAAAAACUAAGUAGAAAUCUUUAUAUGAGAUGUUUUUCUCUUUCCUUGAAUUGCUAGAUGUUUCUUUUAAAGCAUGAUAGAUGUUUGUGUAUACAUUUAAAAUAGUUUUUAGAUGUUUGUUUUUGUGUUAGUGGAUAUUUCUUAAAUGGAUGCAUUUUAAAGGCAUAUCAUAUCAGAUGUUUUUUUAUUUAUUGGAUUUUCUUUUUAAGCAUGUAAAUGUUUCUUUAUCAAUAAAUGGAGGUUUCUUUUGUGAGUUAGUGGAUGUUUCUAUUUUGGUAUGAGUGGAUCUUUCGUUAGAGUUUGGAUGUUUCUUUAAUUAUACUUCUAGAUGUUUCUUUUGUUUGUAUUUUGGAUAUCUCUUUCAGUUAUACUAUAGGUCUUUGGUUUUCAUUUUUCGAUUUCUUUCUUAAAUAGAAUGUAGGAUGUUCUCUUAUGGAUUAUCAGAUGUUUACAUAUUAUAACCCCACUAUGUGUUGUGCUGUUGUAACACCUAACAAUAUGGGCAAAAAAGUACUGCAUCAUAAGGGAGUUCAAAGUCGAUUCAACCGAACAAAAUCAACCAAUUGAGUCGAAAAACCGAAAACUGAAAAAAUAAAAAAUGAUAUUUUUCUAUUUUUCUGUGGUUUGAUUUACCUUUUGGUUCUGCUAGUGAAAAUCCUAACCGAACCGAACUUAAUAUAAAUGAACAAACCCCCUAGUAGAUUACCUAGCCGCCACUCAAAACGCUAAGUCCUUAUUCCCUAACUCUCUCCACUCUCCAUUCUCCACACUAGAGUACUCAACCACUCCAUACUCCACAAUGCUAAAAUCUCCUCCUCCCACCUUCCACAAAGUCAAAAUAUUUUCAGCCCCUGAUUCGCCGGAUAGCACCCUCGCAGCGGCCCUUCCUUGUUGUGCUUCCCUCUUCUCGGUGUAGUCCUUUCUUUCUCUCCAUCUCUUCCUCAUCGCGCUUCCCUCUCCUCGGUGCGGCCCUUUUUCUCCCUUCGUUCGUCGUCGUCCUGCACGCACAGUAGCCGUCGUCUCCUCCACGCACAAGUAGGCGCCGUUGUCAUCCACGCGUUGUCCUCAAGAAUGGAGCCUCCGAGUUAGUUAUUCAAUUUCUGUUUUUAUGAUUCUGUUAGUGAUUUUAUUUUGUUGUGCUUCUGCAUAUAUUUUUUAUAAUUCUGUGUUUAUAUUUUUUAUUUUUAAUUUU